UUUCCUGAUGAUGUCUCAUCCACAGGAUCACUCUGAACUUGACCUUUUCCAAAGACUAACUGCCUCUUCCUGACCCACCCACCUCCGCCUCUGGUGUCAGGGUAUAUAAUAAUCAGCCAGGGUAAAAUGAAGUAAAUCCUUUUUGAGCAGCCUUCUGAAAAGCCUUCUUGAAGUUUUCUUUGCAUCACCAACCAGUCUCUGUGUCAUCAACCCAACACACUCUGCACAGAUUGCACAGUGGGCACAGCAAUUGGAGGUCCCGCCAACAUCGUGAAAGCAAGGCCUGCUGCUUCAACCUCUCCUAACUGUGAGUUUUUAUCCCGAAGCCAACAGAGAACUGGAAGAUUAACAGUCUGCCCUUGCCAUUCCUUGAAACAACAGAAUCCAUUUUGGCAGUUUUUCCCUUUGGGAAAAGGUACCCUUUUGAAACAUUUGGACACUGGUAUGGACCAUGAUGAGUGGCAAAAGCCCCUUAUCAGUAUUUGAACAGGACACGGCCACUUGAAACAUCAGCCCUGGUGGUUCCUGUUUCUGGAAUUACACCUAUGCCUGUAUGUUUUCCUGGAGAAAUGCAACUUGUCCUAAUGCAACAAAAAGGAGGCUUUGGCAUCACAGCCGCUGUUGUCCCAGCCAUUGCCAUAAGGCCACUGUGGCUCCUGCAGCCAGAAUUGCCUUGGCCCAAUUUUCUGCCAAGGCAGAGACUGUUAACAGCCUUUCUGGUAGAGUUAGUGAAGCACUCUCCACUCAGAUUGCGCUCAAUUCGCAUAUUCAGCUGAGGCUCCUGAAGUUAAAUCAACAAACUGCAUCACUUCAGGAACAAAGUGGUGCUCUGUGGAUAGUGAAUCUCUCUUCCUCCCUCCCUUCCUCCCUCCCUCCCUCCCUUCCUUCCUUCCUUCCUUCCUUUCCAUUCUUCCCUUUCCUUUCUUUCCUUCAUGUUUUAGGUUGUUUAUAUUUAGUCUUAGAAGUCCUGUACCUCAAUAAGUUGAAGAGGCUGUCCUUCAGCUCACAGAGAUCCCCUUAUCUGUGUGGCUGGAAUGUUGUGAUUAAAGGUGUGCAUCCCCACUCCCAUUUGGAUUGAUUUUCAAACAUUUGUUGGUGGUGAGAGUGAACCCAGAGCCUAGAGCAUGUCAGGUCAGAAGAAGCUACCAGAUCUCAUUACACAUGUCUGUACAACAACAUAUGAUUGCUGGAUAUUGUAGUUAGGACCUUUGGAAUAUUAGCUAGUGUUCUUAACCACUGAGAUAUCUCUCCAGGUCCCUAAUCUUGGAAUCUUCCUCAUCAGUUUUCUAUGCUUUUGUAGAAAAGUAGGGAUGUGAGAUUGAAAGAAUGAGAAGACAGAUACUUGUGACCUUGGGUUUGGAGAGGUUGACCACAAAGUGCUUGCUUUUACUAUCUUAUCCAACUCUAUACACGUUGUAUUCAUUUAUGA